UACGAAGGGGGCUAGCGUUGCUCGGAAUUACUGGGCGUAAAGCGCACGUAGGCGGACUCUUAAGUCGGUGGUGAAAUCCUGGAGCUCAACUCCAGAACUGCCUUCGAUACUGGGAGUCUUGAGUCCGGGAGAGGUGAGUGGAACUGCGAGUGUAGAGGUGAAAUUCGUAGAUAUUCGCAAGAACACCAGUGGCGAAGGCGGCGCACUGGCCCGGUACUGACGCUGAGGUGCGAAAGCGUGGGGAGCAAACAGG
rnacentral:rRNA from 1 species